rnacentral:rRNA from 1 species
GAUGAACGCUGGCGGCGUGCCUAAUACAUGCAAGUCGAGCGAACAGACGAGGAGCUUGCUCCUCUGACGUUAGCGGCGGACGGGUGAGUAACACGUGGAUAACCUACCUAUAAGACUGGGAUAACUUCGGGAAACCGGAGCUAAUACCGGAUAAUAUAUUGAACCGCAUGGUUCAAUAGUGAAAGACGGUUUUGCUGUCACUUAUAGAUGGAUCCGCGCCGCAUUAGCUAGUUGGUAAGGUAACGGCUUACCAAGGCAACGAUGCGUAGCCGACCUGAGAGGGUGAUCGGCCACACUGGAACUGAGACACGGUCCAGACUCCUACGGGUGGCAGCAGUAGGGAAUCUUCCGCAAUGGGCGAAAACCUGACGGAGCAACGCCGCGUGAGUGAUGAAGGUCUUCGGAUCGUAAAACUCUGUUAUUAGGGAAGAACAAAUGUGUAAGUAACUAUGCACGUCUUGACGGUACCUAAUCAGAAAGCCACGGCUAACUACGUG